UACGUAGGGGGCGAGCGUUGUCCGGAAUCACUGGGUGUAAAGGGUCUGCAAGCGGACCUGCAAGUCAGAGGUGAAAUCCUACAGCUCAACUGUAGAACUGCCUUUGAUACUGUUUUUCUUGAGUAUGGUUGAGGUAGGUGGAAUGUGUUGUGUAGCGGUGAAAUGCAUAGAUAUGACACAGAACGCCGAUUGCGAAGGCAGCUCACAAAACUAUAACUGACGCUGAGGCACGAAAGCGUGGGGAUCAAACAGG
rnacentral:rRNA from 1 species